rnacentral:rRNA from 1 species
GUAGUCCACGCCGUAAACGAUGAGUGCGUAAGUGUUAGGGGGUUUUCCGCCCCUUAGUGCUGCAGCUAACGCAUUAAGCACUCCGCCUGGGGAGUACGACCGCAAAGGUUGAAACGUCAAAGGAAUUGACGGGGACCCGCACAAGCGGUGGAGCAUGUGGUUUAAUUCGAAGACAACGCGAAGAACCUUACCAAAUCUUGACAUCCUCUGACCCCUCUAGAGAUAGAGUUUUCCCCUUCGGGGGACAGAGUGACAGGUGGUGCAUGGUUGUCGUCAGCUCGUGUCGUGAGAUGUUGGGUUAAGUCCCGCAACGAGCGCAACCCUUAAGCUUAGUU